rnacentral:rRNA from 1 species
GAUGAACGCUGGCGGCGUGCCUAAUACAUGCAAGUCGAGCGAACAGACGAGGAGCUUGCUCCUCUGACGUUAGCGGCGGACGGGUGAGUAACACGUGGAUAACCUACCUAUAAGACUGGGAUAACUUCGGGAAACCGGAGCUAAUACCGGAUACUAUAUUGAACCGCAUGGUUCAAUAGUGAAAGACGGUUUUGCUGUCACUUAUAGAUGGAUCCGCGCCGCAUUAGCUAGUUGGUAAGGUAACGGCUUACCAAGGCAACGAUGCGUAGCCGACCUGAGAGGGUGAUCGGCCACACUGGAACUGAGACACGGUCCAGACUCCUACGGGAGGCAGUAGUAGGGAAUCUUCCGCAAUGGGCGAAAGCCUGACGGAGCAACGCCGCGUGAGUGAUGAAGGUCUUCGGAUCGUAAAACUCUGUUAUUAGGGAAGAACAAAUGUGUAAGUAACUAUGCACGUCUUGACGGUACCUAAUCAGAAAGCCACGGCUAACUACGUG